AUAAGUUAUUUCUUUGCUUCAUGUACACAAUGGAUAAUUAGUCCAGGAAAAAGAAUCUCAAAGGGUUAAAAAAUAGUCAACUGUGAAAUUCACAAACACUUUCUUGGAUUGGGUACAAAUGCUAUUCAGGCCAACUCCAAGGAUAAAUUCUUUCUAUCCUAUUUACAAUCCAAUCUUGAUUAGUUAAGAGCUCAUUUUCCAGUUUGUGAAUUAUCUAGGUCUUUGAUUCUUCUCUUCCCUCUGGCUGAUUACCCUUCCUAUUCUUCUGCUCAUUAAACACCUUCACCAGAGGAGGUGAAAAAAAAGUGAUCAUACACGGGUCAUCCUACACAAUGAUGCAUGACUUUAAAAAAUAAUUUUCCAAUUGCUAUUUUCUUCAAAGGAUGGAUGUCUGAUUCAAGAUAAAUGAGAGUCCUGUUGAAGUUACAACCUACUGACUGCACACCUGCAUGAUGGUGUUAACCUCGUAUGGGGGACCCCUAAAGGAUGUCAUAUAUCACAGAAAACCCACUACAUUGCCAGCCCUUAGAGAAGAAAAUGAAAAUGCAUGUGCAGCAAUCUCGAUGACCAAGGUUACCCAAGAAGAAGUUUGCUGUACUAGUAAAUGUCUGGAAGCUAACAUCCACCACUUUGAGCACAUCUUGUAAUUGUAGAGGACAAAAGUAACUUGUAUUAAUCUUAUGAUGUCUAAAUAAAUUUAAUAUUAAAAUAUUUAUACAAGUUUUUAUUUUCCAGAAGUGUCCAUACAGUGUUUGGCAGACUAUACUUAUAUCUAUACAUCUAUAUCUAUCAACAAAUAUAGAAAACAUUAUUCACUGCCUACCGAAUCUCCACAUUUAUUUUUGUUCUUUCUUAUAGAAUCUUGAUAUUUUUAUGGACAAUGUGUUCACAAGACUUGCCUUUGCAAAUAUCCUUCUAUUCAGAAAGGCCAUUUAAAACAUAUCUGGCUAGUAAAAAAUAAUCUGAGAAGUUUUAGAA
rnacentral:lncRNA from 1 species